rnacentral:lncRNA from 1 species
GCUAGCCCCAGGAAAUUUACCACAAGGUAAUUUUGAUAACCCAACAAGACAAUAAACCGAAAAGAUAAAAGCGAGACAAGAACACCAGAACACCAGAUAUACGUGGUUCGGUCAAUUGACUUUGACCUGCAUCCACGGACGAAAGAGGAGCAAAUUACUACUGCAAAAGAGGGACAAUUACAAAUGCCUUAGGAAGAUGUUCCUAGGCCAUAAAACACCCGA